AAAGGCAAUUAGACCAUUGGGACCAUUUCCGACCUGGCGCCGCCAGCCCGGGAAGUGACAAGUACCGCUGGUGACGCCACUCGGCGAACGCAAGUGGAUAAAUAGAAACGUCUGCCACAGUGAAGAUGAAAGGAGACCCGCAGCUAAUGGCUCGGCAGUGAUGCGCCAGGUGUGGGCCUCGCUCGAAUGGGGAGGAGAGUGUGAAAACAGAGAGACACACACACUGGGAAAGGGAGACACCCAGACACAGAGGAUGCAAAUGGAAUUCCGCACACAGAAAAGGGAGCGCUUAAGGCGCGCAGCGAGUUCCACAGGGGCAACAGGACUUGAUGGCCUGAUUUGAAUUUGGAUUGGCUCUUCAUAGAAGAAAACAUCUUUUGGUUUGGCUUAUCUCCGGGCUAUUUCAGGUUAUUUACUGAGCAGCGGAAGAAGGAAGGAAAUUUCUAAUAGCGCGUGAAGCAAGGUAACCCUUCGAAAGCAAAGAGAGGUGACAGCCACCUUAGUGGAGUCCGCCCCGGUGCAUCUCUCCGCUGCAGCCCCGCCGACUUGCAGUCCUUCUCCUGCUGGGGCGAUCGGCUCAGAUGCGGCCAGUUCUUCGAGGAUUGGAAUUCUCUGAACUUCAAACGCUGUGGGUUUGGCUUCCGCCCGGCUAGGAGGGAUAGAGGGUGGCUGAGAAUCCUAGGGAGCCAAGGGGAGAUAAGUCGCGCCAGUCGUUUUAAAUGGAAUCUAAACCUUUGCUUGGGCCACCGAAUGUGGAUCCCCACGGAAACAGCUUCGCUUCGCAAGAAAAUCCGGCUUGGGAGAGAGGCGGCUGCGGUUGUGGGAGCUGUCUAAGUGACCCGAGGCCCGUGGGGCGUGGUCGGCAGUGGUCCUGAGCGGUCCAGAGCACCUUUGCACAUGGCUGGCUGAAAGGCAAGGGUGAAAGUCCAGGGACCUGCUUUCUCCCGGGGAGAAGGGGUGAAUGCGUCGUCUAGGGAAAGAAAAAGAAAUGAACUUUUCUUUCGUCAAAUGUAAGAACAAAGAGAGCAUCCUUCUAAAUAGUAAGAGUCUCCCAGCUGUCGUAGAUACUGUCCCCUGGUCCUCUGUGACCUUUCAGGUUGUGACAGGGAUUAUUUCCGCAAAGUUUCUGUGACUCUGGGUCUUCGCAGCUAGAGGGGUUGGCAGUGGGAGUAUCUAUCAGUCAGCUCCACUUCUCCCAAUACAGCUGUCCAGGCCUCUUUUUGAGCCCAGACUCACUGAGUGGUGCGCCCCUUGGGGGAACAUCCCCCGCCCGCGAGAAAAGGUUUACUGAAAGCCAAACUCCAGAGGUUCAGGCUUCCAGGAGUCCAGAGAUCAAAUAAUCUGGACGGAUUCCCUUCCCCUGGAGGCAGUGUUCCGCGCAGUGGGCAACAGAGAACAGUUCUCCUCUUCAGAAGGUUGAGCUGGAGUCUUCGCAAACGCAGUUAGGAGAAGUGCUCAGCCUCUGGGCCUCCUGAUGUAAAGGGCACAGGUAUCUGAGGCAAGAAAUGGGGUGCUUCAUGGCCCCCAAUGCCUGAUACUUCUCAGAACCCCAAAGGUAUCCAGUCCUGCCUAUUCUUCCUCUGGAUCUGUUUGCUUAGUCUACUGAAAACCAGCGUCUAGUGGCUUCCUGCCCCUGUUCUGUCUCUGCAGUCUAGAAGCCCAUCUCCCCACCCCCACCCCCAGCUCACUGUGAAUACUGACAGCAGUGGGGAACAGACCCACCAUAGGACUGACACCCCAGGCUCUUCUCACCUGAGGCUAACUCUGUCCCUUUGGACAAGGCCUGGAUGAGCCCAGUGUAGUUUGUUCCCUCCCAUUCAAGGGAGUUCUUCAAUGUCUUCAUGGUACAAACCAUAGCUAGCUCCCUCCCGCCUUGCCCUAACAGAAGUAUCACAGCCUCUUUCAUCAUUACCAUUCUGAUACUUGCUAUUAUUACAAGGCUAGUUGACAUCUACGUCUCUUUCAGCUACAUAAGAGUUCUUUACGGGUUUUAAUAGCCUGCAAGGCUUUUCUCCCUCAGUUGUAGGGUGACCAGUAGUCCUAACAAGUGGCCAUGGCAAGGCUGAGUGUCAGACCUAGGAUCCUCCUCCUGAGUCAUCUUCCUUCCUGUCCUUGGGGGAAUCUCUUCUGCUAUCAUGUUGAGAUAACACCCCAUAGCCUUUCUGGAAUCUAGAUAGGUCUGUGCCCUCAGCAGGUCCUCCCUACCCUCAAGAGCACACUCCUCUGGAGAAAAGGCCCCUGGCCACAUUGAUGCCAAUACUCCCCAACAUAGAUCCUUUCCAAGGAGGACAAAGAGUCCUGUGGUAAGAGCAGCCACAGUGUAAGAGCAGCACCAUUUUAUGCAUUUGUGUUUUCCAACGUCUGCAGACUUGGGUUGGGGGUAGGUAUAUGAAUUAUCCCUGGCUUGCAGCUGAGAAGACGAAAUGAGGAGAAAUACAUGCAUGAGUAAGAGGAUUCUGCCCACCCUACUCCCAGCCCUCCCCGCCAUAAAGACAACUCUCAGAGCAGCUCUUGGAAGCUGGGCUGUGUGGUAGAAUGCUUGCCUGGCUACCAUGAGGUACUAGGCUUGGACUAAGAAGCCAGCUUGGGCUUUUCAACAGGGUCCUUUUGCUCCCACCUCACUCAUAGAAGAGGGGACAAUUCCUGGGACUCUGGGUACUCCCCUUGGACCUGCAGGUGAGGGAGAAAAGGCUGCAAACCACUUGGAAAUACUCCUUCUACAGGAUAGAGGCCAGCAGCUGGGUGAGGACUGUACAAGGGACUGUAGAAGAAAAAAACAACAACAACAAAACCCCAACCCAUGUGGUCAUGUGCAGGCCACUGGUACCUGAAAGUAAAACCUCUGAUCUUCGUUCAGAACCAAAUGUCAAUAUAAUUACUUACUUUGGACCUUAAAGCACCGGCUCAUUCCAUGGC
ensembl:antisense Evx1os even skipped homeotic gene 1, opposite strand